rnacentral:lncRNA from 1 species
UAUUAAUCUGCAUGGUAAAUCUAAUAGCAUCUAGACUUUUAAAUACAUUUAUAAGUCAAGGCACAGGCAUGAACACUACAGAAAUGCAAAACAUUUAUCUUAAUGCCAAGAAACUGUAACAUGGAGUACAAACAAAUUUAAUGAGAAAGAACAUUGUUAUACCAAGAAGCUCUUCUAGUCUUUUUCCACUCUAUCACAUUGCUAUACCAAGAAGCACAUACCGAUUCUGGCCUUUCCCUAUGGACUCACUUCGAAGAGGUACUGGUUUAUGUAAACAUUAAUUUGAUAUGAAGGAAAUUCCAUCUAAAAAAAAAAAAAUUGAUAUGAAGGAAAUUCCAUCUACAAUUCUAUAGUCCUCAAUUAAAUUCUAGAUCAAUACUUUAAAAAUAGAAAAAGGGCUAAAAUACUAACCGUGAUUGAUUGCGCUCUUCACCAUAGAAGGUAGCAGAAAGUAGAGGCAAGAUGUUCGUAGCCGAACAAACAGCAGAAAUCAGCGGCUCACCAACGACGACGCCACAGCAGGAGGAUGUCGACGGCGCAGCAAUAAGUAAUGCGUGAAGGGUUGGAAAAUUAGUGAUGAAAAAUAAAAUAAAAAUCGAAAAUUGUGAGAUAAAAGGAGAGAAGAGUGAAUGGUUGUGAAAUUGGUGGGUACCGUGAAAAUUGGAAGAGGGAACGAGAAGUAGGAGACGAAUUCUACAUACAGACAUACGCCAAUUACAUUUACAGCUCAUCUCUCUCUUCUUUCCGAUUUCUCUUUCUCUAUCUAGAAUAUUAGUAUCUUACUGGAGAUUGGAGACUGCUGCCGGCGUGACGGGGAGGCAGCUGCUGGCGGCACGGCGCGAGGGGAGGCGUCAAUCGAAGGGUUCCGACUCGGCGACUCCGACCGAGAGAGCAGCGGCCCGGCGGGUUCAGGACAAAGGACCAAACUGAACUAGGAAUUGAGAUUUGAAGGUUGGGGUCGUGGGUUUGAGUAGUGAAGUAGCAAAUACCCUAAAAAAUGAAAAUUGAAAUGAAAAUUUGGGCGGUGGGUUUGGGUUUUAUUUUUUGAAGUGUCGUGUCCUAUUAUGAAAUUGACUAAGUGCCUCAAUACUAAAUUUUGGAGGCACUAAAUAAAAAAUGUCCCUAUUAAAGUGUCCCAAUAUCCAUUUUUUGUUGUAGUGA